UACAGAGGUCCCAAGCGUUGUUCGGAUUCAUUGGGCGUAAAGAGCGCGUAGGCGGCCCUGUAAGUCCGCUGUGAAAGUCAAGGGCUCAACCCUUGAAUGCCGGUGGAUACUGCAGGGCUAGAGUCCGGAAGAGGCGAGUGGAAUUCCUGGUGUAGCGGUGAAAUGCGCAGAUAUCAGGAGGAACACCGAUGGCGAAGGCAGCUCGCUGGGACGGUACUGACGCUGAGACGCGAAAGCGUGGGGAGCGAACAGG
rnacentral:rRNA from 1 species